rnacentral:rRNA from 1 species
GACGAACGCUGGCGGCGUGCUUAACACAUGCAAGUCGAACGGCAAGGCCCUGCUUGCAGGGUCCUCGAGUGGCGAACGGGUGAGUAACACGUGGGUGAUCUGCCCUGCACUUCGGGAUAAGCCUGGGAAACUGGGUCUAAUACCGGAUAGGAGCCAUUUUUAGUGUGAUGGUUGGAAAGUUUUUUCGGUGUAGGAUGAGCUCGCGGCCUAUCAGCUUGUUGGUGGGGUAAUGGCCUACCAAGGCGGCGACGGGUAGCCGGCCUGAGAGGGUGGACGGCCACAUUGGGACUGAGGUACGGCCCAGACGCCGACGGGAGGCAGAAGGGGGGAAGAUUGAACCAGGGGUGCAAGCCUGAUGCAGCGAGGCCGCGUGGGGGAUGACGGCCUUCGGGUUGAAAAAUACUUUCGCUAGGGACGAAGCUUUUUGUGACGGUACCUAGAUAAGAAGCACCGGCUAACUACGUG